rnacentral:rRNA from 1 species
UGCCUCAGUAACGGCGAGUGAAGCGGCAACAGCUCAAAUUUGAAAUCUGGCCCCCUCGGGGCCCGAGUUGUAAUUUGUAGAGGAUGUUUCGGGUGUGGCUCCGGUCUAAGUUCCUUGGAACAGGACGUCAUAGAGGGUGAGAAUCCCGUAUGUGACUGGCAGCCUACGCCCAUGUGAAACUCCUUCGACGAGUCGAGUUGUUUGGGAAUGCAGCUCAAAAUGGGUGGUAAAUUUCAUCUAAAGCUAAAUAUUGGCCAGAGACCGAUAGCGCACAAGUAGAGUGAUCGAAAGAUGAAAAGCACUUUGGAAAGAGAGUUAAACAGUACGUGAAAUUGUUGAAAGGGAAGCGCUUGCAACCAGACUUGCGUGCGGCCGAUCAUCCGGUGUUCUCACCGGUGCACUCGGUCGUGCUCAGGCCAGCAUCGGUUUCGGCGGCUGGAUAAAGGCCAUGGGAAUGUAGCUCCUCUCGGGGAGUGUUAUAGCCCGUGGUGCAAUGCAGCCCGCUGGGACCGAGGACCGCGCUUCGGCUAGGAUGCUGGCGUAAUGGUUGUAAGCGACCCGUCUUGAAACACGGACCAAGGAGUCUAACAUCUAUGCGAGUGUUUGGGUGUCAAACCCAUACGCGGAAUGAAAGUGAACGGAGGUGAGAACCCUUAAGGGUGCAUCAUCGACCGAUCCUGAUGUCUUCGGAUGGAUUUGAGUAAGAGCAUAGCUGUUGGGACCCGAAAGAUGGUGAACUAUGCCUGAAUAGGGUGAAGCCAGAGGAA